GGCGCACGGGUGCGUAACACGUGGAUAAUCUGCCCUUGAAUUCGGGAUAACCUUCCGAAAGGUUGGCUAAUACCGGGUAAGCUCACGGUGACUUCGGUCGCUGUGGGAAAAGUAGACCUCUGUUUACAAGUUUACGUUUGAGGAUGAGUCCGCGGCCCAUCAGCUAGUUGGCGGGGUAAUGGCCCACCAAGGCUACGACGGGUAGCUGGUCUGAGAGGACGAUCAGCCACACUGGAACUGAGACACGGUCCAGACUCCUACGGGAGGCAGCAGUGGGGAAUUUUCCACAAUGGGCGAAAGCCUGAUGGAGCAACGCCGCGUGUGUGAUGAAGGUCUUCGGAUCGUAAAGCACUUUCGACCGGGACGAAAAACCUCUGGCUAACAUCCAGGGGCCUGACGGUACCGGGAGAAGAAGCACCGGCUAACUCUGUGCCAGCAGCCGCGGUAAUACAGAGGGUGCAAGCGUUGUUCGGAAUUAUUGGGCGUAAAGCGCGUGUAGACGGCUUGGCAAGUCAGAUGUGAAAGCCCAUGGCUUAACCAUGGAAGUGCGUCUGAAACUGCUGAGCUUGAGUGCCGGAGAGGAUGGCGGAAUUCCGCAAGUAGAGGUGAAAUUCGUAGAUAUGCGGAGGAACACCGGUGGCGAAGGCGGCCAUCUGGACGGCAACUGACGCUGAGACGCGAAAGCGUGGGGAGCAAACAGGAUUAGAUACCCUGGUAGUCCACGCUGUAAACGAUGAGAACUAGGUGUCGUGGGUGUUGACCCCCGCGGUGCCGUAGCUAACGCAUUAAGUUCUCCGCCUGGGAAGUACGGUCGCAAGAUUAAAAC
rnacentral:rRNA from 1 species